rnacentral:rRNA from 1 species
CCCAAGAGAUCGGGAUAACACCUCGAAACAGAUGCUAAUACCGGAUAACAACAGAUGAUGCCUAUCAACUGUUUAAAAGAUGGUUCUGCUAUCACUCUUGGAUGGACCUGCGGUGCAUUAGCUAGUUGGUAGGGUAACGGCCUACCAAGGCGAUGAUGCAUAGCCGAGUUGAGAGACUGAUCGGCCACAUUGGGACUGAGACACGGCCCAAACUCCUACGGGAGGCAGCAGUG